rnacentral:rRNA from 1 species
UACGAAGGGGGCUAGCGUUGUUCGGAAUUACUGGGCGUAAAGCGCACGUAGGCGGAUCGGUCAGUUAGGGGUGAAAUCCCAGGGCUCAACCCUGGAACUGCCUCUAAUACUGCCGGUCUAGAGUUCGAGAGAGGUGAGUGGAAUUCCGAGUGUAGAGGUGAAAUUCGUAGAUAUUCGGAGGAACACCAGUGGCGAAGGCGGCUCACUGGCUCGAUACUGACGCUGAGGUGCGAAAGCGUGGGGAGCAAACAGG